UGUCAUUUUUAAUAGAUGCAGAAGCUGCUUGGCCUGAGCUUCUGCUCACUCCAGUGAAGUGUGUCCUUCUCAGCCCUCUGACGGUGUGGGUGACUAGGCUAACAAUAACUUUGUGAGUUUCACAGCAGCGACCAGGAUGCAGCUGCCUUCUCAGCAUUUCAUGUGUAACAGUCAAGCCUCAGGCUUCACUCUCUUAGAGCUACUCUGAAAACUCUGAAAGCAUUAAUGAAAAUUUAAAAUCCUGAGUGAAGGUGGCCUGGGACGUGGGUUCAGGUUACACGUCUACUGUGGAAAUGACACGUUCCACCACGGAACUGGGGCCAUGAGCUCUUUACAGUCCCAGAAUGAAGAGAGACCAUAACCAAGACGUUUCCCAGCUACAGUGGUAGGAAGAUCAGGUUGGUGAAAGUCAAUGGUCUGCCAGAUUGCCUUCUAGAAAAUGUGCCUGAUAGAAGAAGCCUGUGAGGUCAGACACAAGUGGGCCAAAAGGACUACAGAUAUCCUGAGAUGAUUUUGGCCGUGGAUUUGCAACAUCAUCCCACCUCUCCACAUUUAAAUUAAUCGGACUUGUAGAAUCAACAACACAGAGCCUACGUCUCUGAUGCCAGCAGGUACCGAAGACAGCUGAGACUGGAAGCUUCACUGACUUGAUCAACUACUGGGUUCCUGGGCCUUCCGUUGGUAGACAGCCAUUGUUGGAUUAACUGGACGACAUCCUGUGUUCCAGGGUCUGAUAAUGCUAUUUUCUCUGCCUGGGAUCCUCUCAUUCAAAUCUUUACACUUAACGAUUUGGGCAUCUUCAGAAAAAGCUGGUUGGCCAGAACAGCAGAAAGCAGAGCUCUGGAUUCAGAAGGGGACCCUGCCUCGAUACACAAAGGGAAGAGCCAUCGAAGAAUGGACCCAUUAUCAGUCUCUGUCCUCUCUCUACACCCCCACAUGCUCCCCCACACAUUAAAAAAAAAAGAACGUAAAA